GACAGAAGAAGAAAAAAAAUUGCUUUAGGAUCCCUCUAUCAAUCCUUCUCUCGGCUUAGGCGGCGGAAAAAAAAAGAGAAGAAAAAAUUUGCUCCAGAGGUCCUCGGGCUCAACGAAUAGAAGAGGAAGGAAAAAAAGGAAAACUCUCUCCCUUUCUCAGACUUGGGCAGAAGAAAGAAAACGGAGAAGGAAAAAAAAACCCCUCUCCCUCUCGGUUUCUCCUCUCCUUUCCCCCUCUCAAUUUCAGACACCUAUCAGCAAAACAACAAAAUAAAGGGCAAGCCAUUGGACAGUUGGAGGUUUGGAGUUUCAUCAAAGCAUUUUAACCAACUCCACUUUCGGUGAGAAAUGGAAUCUACGCGAAAAAUCGAGUAGGGGUGUGUAUUUUGGUAAUUUUUGGCGACCGGAGAAAUCGCCGGCGACAGGCGUUGGCGCCGCCGUGGCUGCCAGAGCUUCAGUUGGCCAGACAAGCAAACCCAGAAACUGCAGAGGAAAGCUUCGGGCAGGAUGCAUGAAUUUCUGAAAAUUUCAUUUUUUGAUCCCCCAAUUUUUACCUAAUUUCACUGUGGCUCAAAAACUUCUGCAAAUAAUCAAUUCUGCCCCUUUAAAUUUAAAUUUUCUUUGGCAUAUUUUAAUAUGAUUUUUUUUUACAGAUUAUUUAUGAAUUUUAGGAUGAAAUUUAAGAUUUAAUAAUUUUGAUAGAUUUAUUAUUUUGAUUGGGUUUGGUAAAAUAGUUGGAGGUUUUGGUUGAGGUUUGUUAGGUGGGUUUUUGUAUAAAAAUCUGAGCUAUUUUGUUUGGAUUUUAGGAAUGGGUUUUAGUUUAUUUUAUUGGGGUUUUUGGCUUGGGUUAGGAGGCUAGAGCCCAUGUAUUUUUUAUUGGGCUGAUUUGGUAAAUAAAAGUGGGCUGGCCUGCUGGUUUUCCUUUGAACUUUACUUGGGCUGAGUUGAUUUUAGCCCGAGAGAGAAAUAAAAAUGGCCCAGUGGCCCAAUUUCUUAAGUGAUCUAGUGAGGAAUUUACAGAACAGUCCCUGUACUUUUGAAUAAUUGUACUGCGGCUCUAAAUAUUUUAUAUUUCUUUUAGUUAGGUCGCUAAUUUAACUACAAAUAGGUCCCUAAACUUUAUUUUGCUUUAAUUUUGACCCUGAAUCUUUGUGAUAAUAUAAUUUGACCCCAAAACUUUUGUUAAUUUUUGCAAUUAGGUCCCUGACAGAUUUGAUUUUCUUAAAUAGAAAUUACUUUUCUUCUUUAAUUAUUGAUAUACUUCAUUAAAGUGUUCAAUUUGAUAGAUUUCAUGCUUAUUUCCAUUUUUUAUGAUUCAUUUGUUAAUUAAAUUGGUGCCUUGAUGAUUUUUGUUAAUUUUGGAGUUAAAUAGGUAAAACCAAACCCAAUUAGCUACUACUUCAAGGGAGGUAUGUUCUUGUUUUAUUUUAAAUUAUCUUAUAUUCUCUUAUGUGUUUCUAUGUGUGAAUUUACAUGUUUUGAGUGAUUUUUUUUUAGUUAUUUGUUUUAUUCGUUUUAAGUUUCAUAAAUUUAAUUUAACUUUGAUGAUUAUUUGAGAGGCAAUCAAAUGCCAAAUUGUAAUAGUUAGGGUAUUAUUUUACUCUUAUCCCCCUUAGAUUGUAGUUAGGGUUCCAAAUGUAAUAGUUAGAUCUUUAUUCACUUUUAUUUGUUUAUGUGUUUGCAUGCUCGUGUGCUUAUGUGUUUACUCGUUUCCUUAGGAUUUUUGCAUCUAGAUA